rnacentral:tRNA from 1 species
UCCAGGAUGGCCGAGUGGUUAAGGCGUUGGACUUAAGUUGCAAUGUACAAUGUACGCGUGGGUUCGAACCCCACUCCUAGUA